CAUGGUUGCUAUCUGUUAAUGGUUUUCUUGUAUCCAUUUUCGAGUCUUGGAUUCGCGGGGAAGGAGAGAUGGUCGAUGGGUAAUUGGCUUUUCAGUCUUGGAUUCGCAAUCCACCUGAGCUCGGGACUUGAAGUGAUUUUUACACAAUUUUACCUGUGGACAUGUUCUGCUCAGCUGAAGAAUGAUCAGCUGGUGAUGGCGCAGCAAAAGAGAAAGAGAAGAGACAGGAGAAGAAAAUGCAGAAGAGGAGGAAGGGAAAUAGGCGGAGCUGAGCAAAAUGUCAACAAAACCCCAAGCAGUUUGUCUCUCAGCUUUUGCAUGGUGCCUAAGCAAAUUCCGAAUAUAUCGUCAAAGAGGGCUAGUGUUGAACCUUCCCGAGAGAAGCUAUCUGAAUGGACUCCUGGCAGAGAUAAUUCCAUAUAAUGGCCAGCCAUGUAAAGCAGACUUAAUUGUGCUGAGGAAAGCAGGAUGGAGACCGACUGCAGAACAUUAAGAAAGAGCAAGGGCAGUUUUACAAUUCCUCAUCAGUUUGGUGUAAGAUUGAUCUCUGAAGCAUAAUGGGCCUAAGAGCCUUGAGUGUAGGACCAGCCUCUUUAAUUUCAGCAAAAGAGCAGGGAAAAUUUGUCUUUGUUUGCUUCUAUUUCGGAAUCCCGCGGCCUUCUUUUCUUCAGAUGGAAUGAAUAGCUGAGUAGCAUGGCCUUUCUAUUAAUGCAAGUAUAGCUGAUCGGGAGACAGUCCAAAGGCUGAUUUUGUUUCUGGAAGUAUCCAUCCUGAUUCAGAGGUUGCUGAUAAUAUCAUUUGGAGAACUUCUCCUACCAAUGAUGUGGAUUCCAUUAAAUCGUUCAGAGAUACGAAACUGCUGCGUAUUCUUUUUAGUUGUAGUCCAAGUUGAGUUGUAACUCUUUUUUUAGGUCAAGCGUGAUCAGAGAACCGGCUGGUUAUUUUUGUGGGAAGAAGACUUCGUAGGGUGAUCCUACCAUGUCUAUUGUAAUCAUCUAAGUUGGUUGUUGGUUGUACCUCUUUUAUUUUAUCUUUUUGAACCAUAUACCAACUUGGUUGCUAAUGUCCUGUUGGUUUUCUGUUGUAAUCAUCUAGUUCCAAAUGAAGAGAGAUUUGUGAACCUCA